AACGGGCGUGCGGGGCUGUGGCUGGUGGGCCUCGGGGGCGGCUCCCUGGCCCACGCUGGGCGCCCCCCCCCCGCCGGCGUGCAGGUCGGCGCCCCACGCGCAGGCCAGGGGACUCCUUGUUCUCUUUCAGCGCACACCAGGCUCGGGGGAGGGCCUGGAUUCUCUGUAGAGCUGGGUUGGGUCCCUUAGUGCCCCGUGCUGUUUUGUGUCCUCGUUGCAAGUGAAGUGUUCCGGUGUGCUGGGUCAGCCCCUCGCGGGCAUCCGUGCGCCGCAAGGAAAGGCAGGAAUGGCUUUCUGCUGCGCCGGCUCGGGCCAGUGUGCAGCAGGAAAGGGGAGCGUAGCUCUGUCCCUCCCUCUGGAAGGAUCCACGGGAAACCUGGAGGCGUCCAGGCAUGCUGAAGUGGUAGUCCGGGAGGAAAACGGCUCCAUCUGGCAGAUAGUCUCUAGAGAUUUCCCAGCCCUCCCUCCCUCCGGUCUUGUUGAAGAUUGUCACAUAAGAAAGAGCCUUGUGAGCCAGCUGAUCUGCGGGAGGAGGUCUUGUGCUGUGACGGCGGGUGGGGGGCCCCCGCCACAAGCACACCUGGGCCCGAGGCAUCGCUGCUCCCCGCUGCCGACUGGCCCUUCCCCUCUUCAGCCGGGGGACAGCGUCCAUGAGGUGUCGGGGGAGCCAGGGUCGGGCCUCCAGCAAGCAGCGGCCCUCUGCCCGGCCCGCCCUCCCAGCUCACCGACCCUGUGUCCCCUGAGGGCUGGCCGACCAGGGCCCCCACAGAAGGACAUGUAUCUUUUCCCUCUGCCUUCUCCUUGCAUUCUGUUUCUAGAAAUGUUUGUGACACGUUGGAAACUAUGGAAACGCACAGAGAAUGAGGGAAACGACACUUGAUUUUCUCACUUGGAAAUGGUUCCUGUUGGCAUAUAGACGGCCCCUCCCAGUGUGUGUCUCGUUUUUGAGAGCGGUCCUUACAGGCGUCAACAGCGGCCUCUUCCGUCAGUGAAACGUCACAACCAUCUGUUGUCUCUUCACUUCCCAAUACACAUCAGGGUUUUUUUGGCCCCGUUGUUGGGGGGAACCGCUUACCUCAGGGUCUACCCAGUCAGCCUCCCAACCUGCCCUCAGACGAGCGCGGCUGGCUCCCUGGUGCGGUGCCAGGAGGGGUGAGGGACAGGCUGCUGUCCGGAACCUCCAUUCCUCGGUGGGGAGGGUGCUGGCUGGCGCCUGGAGGAGACUCAGCCACGUGGCUGGACGCUGGCUCCCGGCUCUCAGGGUCUCAGGUUGCCCGCGGCAGCGCUGCUGGAGACGAGGUGCAGAUCCGGGGUUUGUCUGAGGACGACAUGGGUCUGUUCUGGGGAGGGUUCCUAAGCGGGGUGAGUGUGGCUGCCCGGCCGUGAUCAGGGCCCCGUGGUCCUCCCCUCCUGAGUCAGAAGCACUGUAUGCUGCUCACGGGGACGACUGAGGAAGGACAGCAUCAGAACCCAACCCACAAGGACACCGGGGCUGAAGAAGUGCAGAGACCUGAGGGGUGAGGGGUGCGUGGAGUAGACGGAGGUGCUUCCCAAUGGCUGUGCUAAUGCUUUUGGUUUUAGGAGCCCCAGGGGAGGCCCCGUGGGCUGCAGCAAAGGCCUGAGGGCAGCCUCUUUGUAGUCACGGGGGCUGAGGUCGCGGGCGCAGGAGGGAAAGCUCUGAUUCAGCAAAGCAAGUGGUGGAGAACCAGCAGUGGCCGAGCAAGGGCCGACCUAGUUUUCAGAGCCGCUUCGGGAGUGGUCAGCCGGAAGCACCCCGGGUGUGCAGGGUCAGCCGGAAGCACCCCCAGAGCCCCUCCCCAGGGAAAGCGCGGGCAUCCCACCUUCCCUCCUCUUCAGGGGAAGUGUGCGGGGCGAGGGGAGGCCUUGCCGGUUGGGAUGUCCCCACCCACCUGCCCACCCUCCUUGGGGGGCCGGCCAGGACACCCAGAGCAGCCUCUGCCCCUGCCAGCGCUUGCCGUCAGUGGGUUUAGACCCUCGUGAACAAGCAGACAGUGGGAAGUCACUGGAUCUGGGGAAUUACAGAUUGACAAAGACAAUCUGGUGUUGCGCACGAAUGAAGGAAAACUAAACUCGAGCACACCGGAGAAAGCAUGUGGCGGAAAGACCCUGGUGGCAGAGAUAAAACAGAGGUGGCUGUGGAUAGAAUUUUCAGGAGGCAAGGACAGGUGACCGUGAAGGAACGGGAGGAAAGCUUCCCCGCUCCAGAGCAGGUGUUAUCUGUAGAACCGGAGACCUCCGACUUUUUAACCAAGAGUUGUUCAGAUAUGCGUGUUCCUGGUGACACUUCCAAGCUGCAGAGAUAAAGAGGCACUUUUAUAAGCACCCAGUUGACGAUGAUAAUAAGCUGCCUUUGAAGAAAGGUGAUCCUUUUGGCCUGGCUGUCUCCCUUCUGCCACAGGAGAUGCUGGCGGAGACAGGUCAGCAUUCCGUGGCAGUGGCCUGGCUUGUGAGCUGGGGGCCCAGGCAGCGUUCAGCUGUUGUCACUGAUAGAAACACAGGGGGCUUUUACAUGGUAAGGAUGUUAGAG